rnacentral:rRNA from 1 species
UACGGAGGGGGCUAGCGUUGCUCGGAAUUAUUGGGCGUAAAGAGCUCGUAGGCGGUUUGUCGCGUCUGCUGUGAAAACCCGAGGCUCAACCUCGGGCCUGCAGUGGGUACGGGCAGACUAGAGUGCGGUAGGGGAGAUUGGAAUUCCUGGUGUAGCGGUGGAAUGCGCAGAUAUCAGGAGGAACACCGAUGGCAAAGGCAGAUCUCUGGGCCGUAACUGACGCUGAGGAGCGAAAGCGUGGGGAGCGAACAGG